UGUUACUAGCCAUGACAAAAUCAUAAUCCUGGGAGAUGUUAAUAUCCAUGUAUGCUGUGACUCUAAACCACUCUCAAAAGAGUUUCGAAGUCUCAUUGACUCAUUUGAUUUUGAUCAGUGGGUGUCUGGCCCCACUCAUAUUCAGGGUCAUACUCUGGAUUUAAUUUUAUCACGUGGUUUGCCUGUAUUGGACAUUAACAUCUUAGACUCAGGCAUGUCAGAUCAUUUGCCAAUCUUACUUUCUGUACCUUCUACUGGAACUACACAUAAGCAUCAACCUCGUGCACGGCUGACUCGUGUCUUUUCCGGUUGCUCUAGCAAGGAUUUUACAGUUUUAUAUUCUGAAUUACGUGCUAACCAGGACAUGGACUCAUGUUUAAGCAAUCUAGAUGCUGUUGAACAUUUAAACUGUUUUAAUUCUACCUGUUCUAAUAUUUUAGAUGUUGUUGCUCCCCUUAAGAAGAAAAAGCAUAAGCACGUCUCUAAGCCCUGGUUAGAUGACACACUCGUUCACUCAGACAGACCUGUAGAAGGCUGAACCUUCCCGGCAGCAACAGAGCUGAACUUGAGGAACGCAGCUGGGAAGCAUUUUAAACAAGAAAUAAAACCAAUAAUUAAUAACUUCCUUUAAGUUCACUGUUGGUUGUUUUAUUUGUUAAAAUAAGUAAACCAACAAAAGGGUUAAUCUUUUUUUAUGUUGUCAUUUAUCCAGAAUAUUUUAAUGUUAAGUGUGAUAACAUGCUCUUUUUCUUUUAAAUAUCAUAAAUUAUUUAAAAUAUUUAAUUUUUUCAUUUUUAUAUUUUAAUUAUCUUAAGUUGUUAAAAAUGUUUAUUUUUCUUAAUAAAAGCUGUAUAUUUCA